AGAACGAACGCUGGCGGCAGGCCUAACACAUGCAAGUCGAACGCGACCUUCGGGUCGAGUGGCGCACGGGUGAGUAACGCGUGGGAAUCUGCCCUGUGGUACGGAAUAACAUCGGGAAACUGGUGCUAAUACCGUAUAUCCCCUGAGGGGGAAAGAUUUAUCGCCAUGGGAGGAGCCCGCGUAGGAUUAGCUAGUUGGUGAGGUAAAGGCUCACCAAGGCGACGAUCCUUAGCUGGUCUGAGAGGAUGAUCAGCCACACUGGGACUGAGAUACGGCCCAGACUCCUACGGGAGGCAGCAGUGGGGAUAUUGGACAAUGGGGGAAACCCUGAUCCAGCCAUGCCGCGUGUGUGAUGAAGGCCUUCGGGUUGUAAAGGCACUUUCGCACGUGACGAUGAUGACGGUAACGUGAGAAGAAGCCCGGACUACUCGCGCCAGCAGCCGC
rnacentral:rRNA from 1 species